rnacentral:rRNA from 1 species
AUUUGUAUUCACACUAAUUCCUUGAAAAAGCCUGAUCUAAUCUCAUCUCUGAAGCUAUGCAGGGAUGGGCCUGGUUAAUACUUAGGUGGAAGGCUGCUGGGAAUACCAGGUGCUGCAGAAG